AUUGAACGCUGGCGGCAUGCUUUACACAUGCAAGUCGAACGGUAACAGGCCGCAAGGUGCUGACGAGUGGCGAACGGGUGAGUAAUGCAUCGGAACGUGCCCAGUCGUGGGGGAUAACGCAGCGAAAGCUGCGCUAAUACCGCAUACGAUCUAUGGAUGAAAGCGGGGGACCUGUAAGGGCCUCGCGCGAUUGGAGCGGCCGAUGUCAGAUUAGGUAGUUGGUGGGGUAAAGGCUCACCAAGCCGACGAUCUGUAGCUGGUCUGAGAGGACGACCAGCCACACUGGGACUGAGACACGGCCCAGACUCCUACGGGAGGCAGCAGUGGGGAAUUUUGGACAAUGGGCGCAAGCCUGAUCCAGCAAUGCCGCGUGCAGGAAGAAGGCCUUCGGGUUGUAAACUGCUUUUGUACGGAACGAAACGGCUCUGGUUAAUACCUGGGGCUAAUGACGGUACCGUAAGAAUAAGCACCGGCUAACUACGUGCCAGCCGCCGCAGUAACAC
rnacentral:rRNA from 1 species